rnacentral:misc_RNA from 1 species
GCAAACUUGGUCAUUUAGAGGAAGUAAAAGUCGUAACAAGGUCUCCGUAGGUGAACCUGCGGAGGGAUCAUUACCGAGUUCGUGCCCCCCAGCGGGGUAGAUCUCCCACCCCUGUGUAUUUCUUACCUGUGUUGCUUUGGCAGGCCGCUGGGUUGCGGCCUGGCCACCGGCCUUUGGGCUGGUGCGUGCCUGCCAGAGACCCUUCAAACUCUGGUUUAUCUAGUGUUGUCUGAGUAUCAUGCAAAUCGUUAAAACUUUCAACAACGGAUCUCUUGGUUCUGGCAUCGAUGAAGAACGCAGC